rnacentral:tRNA from 1 species
AUUCCUCUGGCAGAUUAAAUGCAAUAAAUUUAGAAUUUAUUUAUACAGUAGAACUGUGAGAAAUA